rnacentral:rRNA from 1 species
AGUCGAGCGAACAGACGAGGAGCUUGCUCCUCUGACGUUAGCGGCGGACGGGUGAGUAACACGUGGAUAACCUACCUAUAAGACUGGGAUAACUUCGGGAAACCGGAGCUAAUACCGGAUAAUAUAUUGAACCGCAUGGUUCAAUAGUGAAAGACGGUUUUGCUGUCACUUAUAGAUGGAUCCGCGCCGCAUUAGCUAGUUGGUAAGGUAACGGCUUACCAAGGCAACGAUGCGUAGCCGACCUGAGAGGGUGAUCGGCCACACUGGAACUGAGACAUGGUCCAGACUCCUACGGGAGGCAGCAGUAGGGAAUCUUCCGCAAUGGGCGAAAGCCUGACGGAGCAACGCCGCGUGAGUGAUGAAGGUCUUCGGAUCGUAAAACUCUGUUAUUAGGGAAGAACAAAUGUGUAAGUAACUAUGCACGUCUUGACGGUACCUAAUCAGAAAGCCACGGCUAACUACGUGCCAGCAGCUGCGGUAAUACGUAGGUGGCAAGCGUUAUCCGGAAUUAUUGGGCGUAAAGCGCGCGUAGGCGGUUUUUUAAGUCUGAUGUGAAAGCCCACGGCUCAACCGUGGAGGGUCAUUGGAAACUGGAAAACUUGAGUGCAGAAGAGGAAAGUGGAAUUCCAUGUGUAGCGGUGAAAUGCGCAGAGAUAUGGAGGAACACCAGUGGCGAAGGCGACUUUCUGGUUCUGUAACUGACGCUGAUGUGCGAAAG